rnacentral:rRNA from 1 species
GACGAACGCUGGCGGCGUGCUUAACACAUGCAAGUCGAGCGAUUCUCUUCGGAGAAGAGCGGCGGACGGGUGAGUAACGCGUGGGUAACCUGCCCUGUACACACGGAUAACAUACCGAAAGGUAUGCUAAUACGGGAUAAUAUGCUUUAGUCGCAUGGCUGAAGUAUCAAAGCUCCGGCGGUACAGGAUGGACCCGCGUCUGAUUAGCUAGUUGGUAAGGUAAUGGCUUACCAAGGCGACGAUCAGUAGCCGACCUGAGAGGGUGAUCGGCCACAUUGGAACUGAGACACGGUCCAAACUCCUACGGGAGGCAGCAGUGGGGAAUAUUGCACAAUGGGCGAAAGCCUGAUGCAGCAACGCCGCGUGAGCGAUGAAGGCCUUCGGGUCGUAAAGCUCUGUCCUCAAGGAAGGUAAUGACGGUACUUGAGGAGGAAGCCCCGGCUAACUACGUGCCAGCAGCCGCAGUAA